rnacentral:rRNA from 1 species
UACGGAGGGUGCAAGCGUUAUCCGGAUUUACUGGGUUUAAAGGGUGCGUAGGUGGGUCGGUAAGUCAGCGGUGAAAUCUUCGAGCUUAACUCGGAAACUGCCAUUGAUACUAUCGAUCUUGAAUCGUCUAGAGGUAAGCGGAAUAUGUCAUGUAGCGGUGAAAUGCUUAGAUAUGACAUAGAACACCAAUUGCGAAGGCAGCUUACUAUGGAUGUAUUGACACUGAGGCGCGAAAGCGUGGGGAUCAAACAGG